GCCGGGUUAGCUCAGUAGGUAGAGCAGCGCACUUGUAAUGCGAAGGUCACCAGUUCGAUUCCGGUACCCGGCA
rnacentral:tRNA from 2 species